UACGUAGGGGGCAAGCGUUGUCCGGAUUUAUUGGGCGUAAAGAGCGUGUAGGCGGCUUUACAGGUCCGUUGUGAAAACUCGAGGCUCAACCUCGAGACGCCGGUGGAAACCGUAAGGCUAGAGUCCGGAAGAGGAGAGUGGAAUUCCUGGUGUAGCGGUGAAAUGCGCAGAUAUCAGGAGGAACACCCGUGGCGAAAGCGGCUCUCUGGUACGUGACUGACGCUGAGACGCGAAAGCGUGGGGAGCGAACAGG
rnacentral:rRNA from 1 species